UAUUAUUAUUAUUAUUAUUAUAAGUAUCUCAGUCACUGAAUUACAUGUCUAGACUGUCUAAGUAUAUCUUUGUCAUCCAUCGUGUGAAUGUGUAGCACAUAAAAUCUAGUUUUCAAUUGGAUAUUGUAUCAAUAUAGUCAUUUUUCACCUGCAUUGAUGUGGUGAUGGUGACUGAUGAUGACUCAUCCAGUGAUGAUCUAAUUGAAACCCAUAGGAGUGUCCCACUCAGUAAACCUGAGUGAUUGCAGCUGCAGUCAACAUGUACUUUGCUAGAAGUGUUUAGAUAAAAAAAAGAAGACUGUUUCUUUUCCUUGUACUCUUGCUGUAAAAGUUCCAGUUUGCUCUGGCAUGGAGAAAAUAUGAGUUAAUUGGUCUGAGUACGAACUGCUCUGACAACGACAGACUUAAUAGCAGAGCACCACAGGACUUGUCGGAUUAAGAACCAUCUCACAAAGUCCCAUUAAGGCAUCACUGCAGCAAAAUGAAGUGGUUGACAGGAUCUGUCUCAGGACUCUUAUGCAGAGAACACUCCUAUCCCUCAGCUGGAUUUCUCCUUGCUCACUUCAUUGAACUGACUUUGUCGAUGUUUAGGUUAGGGAGGAGGGAGAAAGAAGUUAUUUUGGGAUUCAAUUAUGUUCCUGCUGAUUUACACAUUUGUUUCCAAGCUAAAAUCAAUUCCCGGAUCUGUGUGUGACUUUGCGUCUUUGUGUCUCUUAGAGAUAAGCUUGUAUUUGUAUAGAGGGUGCAGAGAUGUUGAACCUUAAGGGUGAAGAGAAAUAUAAACACAACAGCAGACAAAUAUGAUGCAGGAAAAGAAGCUACUGCCUUCGUAAUCAUAAUGUCACCUCUGUUGGAUAUAGUCAUAUUCAAUAAAUUAGAAUAUGCUUUCCAGUAGGUAUUAAACACACUUUUCAUUAUGCCCACAUUUCUUUAAGCAUGAUUUUUUUAUUGCUCUAAUAUCUCUUUUAUGUCAUGUUUUCAUUGGUUCAAAGUGGAAAAUCAUCAUAAUUAACAGCAAUAAAAGCUUAGGUUUAGCAGUCGGAGUUAUUAAUACACAAAAUGUGUUUCAAUUAGUGAGCUGAGUUACUGGAGUACAUAAACUUUUCAAUCAUAUUAAGAUGUAU